GGGUCGGUGCUCGAGUGGUUAAUGGGGACGGAUUGUAAAUCCGCUGGCAAUGCCUACGCUGGUUCGAAUCCAGCCCGGCCCA
rnacentral:tRNA from 1 species